GACGAACGCUGGCGGCGUGCUUAACACAUGCAAGUCGAACGGAAAGGCCUGCUUUCCCUUGUGGAUUGCGGGUACUCGAGUGGCGAACGGGUGAGUAACACGUGAGUGAUCUGCCCCCAACUUGGGUAUAAGCCUGGGAAACUGGGUCUAAUUCCCGAUAGGACUGCAGGGUGGUGCCUGUGGUGGAAAACGAUUUUCUAGUGGUUGGGGAUGAGCUCGCGGCCUAUCAGCUUGUUGGUGGGGUAAUGGCCUACCAAGGCGGCGACGGGUAGCCGGCCUGAGAGGGUGGACGGCCACAUUGGGACUGAGAUACGGCCCAGACUCCUACGGGAGGCAGCAGUGGGGAAUAUUGCACAAUGGGCGGAAGCCUGAUGCAGCGACGCCGCGUGGGGGAUACGGCCUUCGGGUUGUAAACUCCUUUCGACCGCGAGGAAGCCACCUGGUUGGAAGGGUGGUGACGGUAGUGGUAGAAGAAGCACCGGCUAACUACGUG
rnacentral:rRNA from 1 species